GAACCAUUUUGUAACCAUAGAAAACCUUGGAUGCUGCUUCAUCAUCUUCUUCUUCUUGGCUAACAUCAAGCAUCUCUUCUGUUUUUUAUAUCAUUCUCAGCCUUAACAAACAGAAAGCCGUAGAGAAGAUGGAGAUUCAAAGAUACUGGAAGUUCAUUCUAUGCUAAAGUCAUCUCCAAUGGUCGGUCUUGGUUUUUAUUUGCAAACCCGAAAAACCGAACCGUAAAAUACCCGAUACCCAGAAUUAUACAUAGGUCCGGUAAUCAGUUAUGGUUUUUGAAUGUUUUUCGGUCUCGGGUCGGUUCGGGUUUAGUCCGGGUCGGGUUAACUCAUUUGCUUAGCCCUAGCCAGAUGUCAUCUCCUCAUUUUUUCCCUCUUCCUAUUUUGUCUUCUUAAAAUGCUCCUCCACUCCCACUCAAAUUUUCUAAAAAUUUUGAAGUUCCCUCCUAAAUCUUUCCAUUCCGUCUUUAUCCCCACUCAUUUGUAGUUCCCUCUUCAUAACCCUAUCAAUUCACCUCCCGUCCUCCCGAGAUGAUAUCCACAACGAACCAUCACCGACAUGAACCAACCAAACCCCCAUCACACCAACGCGAACCAGCAUCACCACCACCGGAUCUCUCUCAUACCACCAUGACACCACCACAGAUGUGUUGUUGAUGGUGUAUAUCAUCCUACGAGGGUUUCAAAUGGUUCUGAUAGAUGAAACACUUGGAAUACAACUUCUGAUGUACCAGUUAUCAUUAAAAUUCAUUAUAAUUUUUGGAAAAAUUGUAUUAGUGUGUUUCUUUGCCAGGUGCUCCGAAGUCUCACACCACUCUCACUUCUAUAGAUCAGGAUUGCUGCUUCUUUUAUGCUCUAUUGGUUUUACCGUACUUUAGCUAUUAUGGGGAAUGAGCUUCAUAGCCAGGGAAUGUUUAACGAGGCACUAGAAAAGUAUUUACGGGUACUGGUAACUGAUGCAAGAAAUGUUAAAGCUCUUUGUAGGAGAGAGGCGAGACAUGUAAAAGUUUAGGGCAACUUGAAGAAAUUUAUGAUAUGAGACCUGGAUAGCAUGGAUAGGCCUAUGCUUUAAAGAAUUUCUAUGUUUGGAUCUUGGUUUGCUUUAAUGCCCCUCAGGUUGGUGAAGAACAUAGGAAUACUUCGCUGCAAUAUGGAUGGCAUUCAUGAAGAAUGGUCGAGUUAUGCGGCGGCAACUAUUAUUUUUAUAUGACAAAUUGUAUUUUAAGUGUUGAUGAAUGUAUUGACAAGCAAUAUAUUUGCUAAUGUUAAAAUGUUUGUAGUAUAAAUGAUAAAUGAUUAUGCAAUUGGUUUUUUUGAUAUCUAUAUA